rnacentral:rRNA from 1 species
ACCCCGCACAAGCGGUGGAUCAUGUUGUUUAAUUCGAUGAUACGCGAAGAACCUUACCAGGUCUUGACAUCCCCCGCGAUGCUUUAGAGAUAAAGCGGAGGUAUUCGGGGAGACAGGUGGUGCAUGGUUGUCGUCAGCUCGUGUCGUGAGAUGUUGGGUUAAGUCCCGCAACGAGCGCAACCCCUAUUGCUAGUUACCAUCAUUAAGUUGGGGACUCUAGCGAGACUGCCAGUGAUAAACUGGAGGAAGGUGGGGAUGACGUCAAAUCAUCAUGCCCCUUAUGACCUGGGCUACAAACGUGAUACAAUGGCUGGAACAAAGGGAUGCGAAGCAGUGAUGUGGAGCGAAACCCAUAAAAACAGUCUCAGUUCGGAUUGAAGUCUGCAACUCGACUUCAUGAAGUCGGAAUCGCUAGUAAUCGCGGAUCAGAACGCCGCGGUGAAUACGUUCUCGGGGUUU